UUACGGCGAUAUCACGUUGAAACACCGGUUCUCGUACGAUCACAGAAGUUAAGCAAAGUUGAGUUUGGCCAGUGCCUAGCUUGGUAACCGCUUGGAAAUAUCAGGUGCUGUAAG